CCUACGGGCGGCAGCAGUGGGGAAUAUUGCACAAUGGGGGAAACCCUGAUGCAGCGACGCCGCGUGAGUGAGGAAGUAUUUCGGUAUGUAAAGCUCUAUCAGCAGGGAAGAAAAUGACGGUACCUGACUAAGAAGCCCCGGCUAACUACGUGCCAGCAGCCGCGGUAAUACGUAGGGGGCAAGCGUUAUCCGGAUUUACUGGGUGUAAAGGGGGCGUAGACGGCUAAUCAAGUCAGAAGUGAAAACACAGGGCUCAACCUUGGGACUGCUUUUGAAACUGAGUAGCUAGAGUGCAGGAGAGGUAAGCGGAAUUCGUAGUGUAGCGGUGAAAUGCGUAGAUAUUAGGAGGAACACCAGUGGCGAAGGCGGCUUACUGGACUGUAACUGACGUUGAGGCUCGAAAGCGUGGGGAGCAAACAGGAUUAGAUACCCUUGUAGUC
rnacentral:rRNA from 1 species